rnacentral:tRNA from 1 species
GGAGAGAUGGGUGAGUGGCUUAUACCAGUAGUUUGCUAAACUGCCGUACUGGAAACGGUACCGGGGGUUCGAAUCCCCCUCUCUCCG